AAACAUUUGGUGCAAAUAUUAUUUGCCAUGGAUGCUUAAGCUUUUUUUAUAUUCUUGGUUUUUCCAAGCAGGAUUCCGGUAAGAACAUCCAACUAUUUGCUUUCCACAUAUUCAAGACUUUCAGCUAAUGGAAAGGAUUUCUUCACUUCAUACAAUGAAAUUUAUGCCAGUUUUGAUUUUAUGGGCCUGCAAGAAAAUUAAACCUUCUUGGAGGGAUCUAUGCCUACAGUUGGUUUUGAGAAGCCAUUUGCAAUUCAACAAAGGGGAAUUGUUCCUCUUUGCAAAGGGCUUGAUGUCAUUCAACAAGCCCAGUCUGGAAUUGGGAAGACUGUAACUUUUUGCUCUGGCAUUUUGCAGCAACUUGAUUAUGGUCUUGUGCAGUGCCAAACAUGUUACUUCCAUUCAAGGUUUGUAUGCAUUGGUUUAUUUUUUAAUUUGAAGCACAUAUACUAAGUUAUUGAUACAAUCUUUUCAUUCUAGUGUGUGACAUCUAUGGGUAGACACCUCUUGAGGUAUGCAUUUUCUGCUAGGAACUUACAGACCCACCAUUUUCUCCAUAUAUUUCUAAUUUACCAAAAACUUAGAUAAUAGUCGUUUUUAUUUAGAAACUGGUUUCUGAGGCCAUUACUGGAUCUUGAAAAUUUGAAUAAGCAACUUAAUGU